GACGGGCCAAUGAUUCGGCGUGGACCGGUACUGGAUCUCACUGGGGAAGGACUUCUACGAGGUGGACCAAGGCCACGGCGAGGACGACGCCUCAGUGGAGGUGCCGCUGAGGCGGAGAAGCUCCUUGCGUAGGUAUCGGUACUCAGGAAGGCGGCGCUCAGAAGGAUCAGGACUUCUGGGCCAAUGUAUGGCUGAUCCAAAGUGUUUCCCAACUCAGCCCAAAACUUUUGUCUCUGUAGUUUUCCACAUUGAAGCACAUCAGGCAGUAAGAAAGAGCCAAGGAUCGUUUGACACUUGGAGAUGCUUAUUAAUUGAAAACAACACGCCGUCAAAGUCACUACGUUUCGGGCCGAGGCGAAGAUGUCGCUGCCCCCCGGACGUACUUUUGCCUCCAAAGUGGGAGCCCGGCUCGGAGUUUUCGCCACGAUCUUCACAGGCCAGCAAGUAAUGAAGUCAGGGGGGAGACCAAGUCGGAUGAUGAGAGCAACUGCGUGUCAAUGCGAUGCAACAUCAGCUCGCUUCAUGGCUCAAAAAAAAAAAAAACUCCAAAACAUUCCAGUCAAGAGAGAAAGAAAAGAUGAAGCACGCCAGGCUUGCUGUUAA